rnacentral:rRNA from 1 species
GAGCUGUAUUGUAGAGACAUGUACCCACCACAGUGACAACAUUGGCAACACAAGCGUCUGUAGCCUAGUGGUAAAGGCAGCACUCUAGUAUGUGUCUCAGUUAGCACUGAGGUCAUGGGUUCGAAUACCAUCAGACACAUAAUUACAUUUUACCAUCUCUAACAGUUUUUGAGUUCAUCAAAGACAUUGUUUGACUGGCCAACAUAGACAAAUAUUUGAGACAGCUUUUUUGAGACAAAUGAAUCAAAGAUAAGAAAGUGCUUUGGUUGAAACUUCCAGACAGCAUCAAUUUGAGCUUAUGGGGCCUUUGAACCGCCCUUUAAUUGUUCACCAGGCUCAGUGCUACAGUCCCCCUGCUGUGAUAUGUAAACAGCUGCAUCAGAGGGGUCAAAAUGCUGGUCCUUGCACACACUGUAUGUUUGAUCUGCCACUUUGAAACCUACAGGUUACAUGCUUACAUGCUACACGUAACAUGUGGUGUGCUUAUGCCACAUGCUACAUGUAAGAUGUUGCUACAUGUUACAUGUAGCAUGCUUUGUGUCUUUGGGAGGAUAAAUACUGCCAGGGAGAUGAGAUUCACCACAACCAGCUUCAUCCCUUCAGCCACUCUGAUUCAACAAACCAGUUACUUCAGCAUCUCUUAGCUGUCACACCUCUCUUGAGUCUACUGUCUUCCACUAAUUGAAUAAUGGGUAUGCCACACUUGUUUCUAUACUACAAGCAGAGUUAAAUCAUUAACAUAUUCCUUAAGCAUCUUCAUCCCAGCAGGAUGCUGGCUCUUGGCCAAAUGAAGGUCCACCUAAAAGCUGUAAAGCCAAGAACAAACUCUGGGCAACUUACCUACCAAAUUCAAAUGAGGCAGACUAUAAAUCAUUUGCCAAAUUCACUUGAUUCAUACUAGGGCAUACAAAGCACAACCCAGAUUACCCCAAUCCACCAACAAUUCUUGAACUUGUAAGCCUUCCCCCAUUGACAAAGGAAGCCAUCCUGCUGAACUGCUCAGUCUUCCCCGCCUACAACUCUUUGAGCCAUGUCAACACAACUGAAUGGUUGCCAUUCAAGGCCCUUGUUCAAUAAGACUUGUCAGCGAAUGGAAUCCAUCAAUACGCCUUUGAUUGGUACACUCAUGAUGGCAAAAUGAGCCAAUGGAAUCAAGUCAUGAUACUCUUCACCAUCAAGCAUUGGAGGUUUGCAAGAACGGCUUCUGCUUUUGCCAACUUUGCACUUGAUGACAAAUGGAAUGAAGACAAAUACCAGAUUGGAAUGAUGUCAGGCUGGGUGUGUGGGCGGAUUGAAGAAGUCAAGAAUGGUUUUCAAAAGGAUCAGAAAGUUUGCCAGAGGCAUAGGACUCGGAAACGACAAGAGGUAAGCAAAGAGUUCAUCUUUGAGAUCACUUCUGUGCUGAUCAUGAUUUGGUCAACAGCUUCAUGAAUAUUGGAAGGUCACGGUCACUCAAUAUGCUCCAGAGUUCCUUGACCUCAUUCCCAGUGCAGACUGUUGUUUGGAUAUGGAGGAAGACCUUGAUGUACCUCUUCAGAAGUCAAUCCGCCCCAGCUGGCAGAGUGAGACGUAUGGCAACUGCACUACAAACAUUAUUCAACUUCCCCAAGUGGGCAGGAAAAAGUGACUGGGAGUAUGAUUUGUCAUAAAAUGAUCUAUCACUCCACACCUGAGCCAUAACACCCACAUUACAUAUGUGUAGCAGGCUCAGUGAAUAUGUGGUUAUCAUGUACAUACAGUUCUGCUCAGUUAUCUGCUCAUCAGGAUAAGUUAUUCAUAUGUAAUACAUGCUGUAACUUUUUUGAGAUCAAAAAAAGCAUUCCAAAGAUUGACUACAUACACUGACUCAAUGUUUUGGUGUAAUCUCAUCAACUCAACUGCGUGUAACACACUUUCUGUUACUAAGAAAUAGCUUCAACAAUAUUGCCUGAGCACCUACAGAAUUAUACGUAGUGAAUUUUGGGCACAAUUUUUUCAAAGUCAAAAAAGUUACAUGUGGUAUAACAUGUGAUUUAUUUCUGCUGGUGGGCAAAAAACUGAGCAGACCUGUAUGUACAUGAUAGCCAACUAUUGACUUAGCUUGCUGCACAUAUGUAGUGUGGGUGAAAUGGCUCAGGUGUGCAUUAUUAGAUUCUUUUAUGACAAACCGUACUAUUAAUCAUUUUCCUCUUACAAUUUGGGGAAGUUGAAUGAUGUUUACAGUGCUGGCUUCACCUAGUGGACAGGCUUUACUAUGAGCAUCAAUUGACUUUUAUGCAAAGACUACAGGCAACAAGGUGGUUUGACACACACCGUGAGCCAGGGAACGCAAUCAACCCUUUGGCUACAGCUUGUACUAAGCUUCCAGAAAGCUGCUAUGAUAGUUCCUUUUUGAUUCAAUAUGGGGAGGUCCAACAAGUGAUGUUGGGGAUCCAAUCCAACUCUUCACACCUUGAUGAUGCAGUCACUGUCAUUUCUGCACUACUGCCUCCAUCCCAAAAUUCCUAACUCAAUUCUCAUUUUUUGUACGGCUUGUGGUGAGUAUGCUAGUAUUAAAUGUGCACCAAUUAUUGUAAUUUGAUGAUAUAGUUUGUUAUCUUCUGUGCUCCCUUCACUAUUAUUUUAUUGUUGACCAUACAUAAUUAUUGACGUUCACAUUGAUUGUCUCUCAACUAUGCUUCACUAGCUCCCAUAAAAUUACAGCUGCACAGCCUUAUGAGGUUACAUUACAUCACAUAUGUGCUAUCACCAGGCCAAUUGUAGGCUUGAAACCCUGCAGCUUCCUGUCCAAUCUCAGGGUGCCGCACCCAUGUUUCUUACAGAUGCACCUGGAAUGUUGUCAAAUGUUUGU